rnacentral:rRNA from 2 species
GGUCAAGCGAACAAGUGCAUGUGGUGGAUGCCUUGGCGAUCACAGGCGAUGAAGGACGCGGUAGCCUGCGAAAAGCUACGGGGAGCUGGCAAACGAGCUUUGAUCCGUAGAUGUCCGAAUGGGGAAACCCGGCCCUUUUGGGUCAUCCUGGACUGAAUACAUAGGUCCAGUGAAGCGAACGCGGUGAACUGAAACAUCUAAGUAACCGCAGGAAAAGAAAUCAACCGAGAUUCCCAAAGUAGUGGCGAGCGAAAUGGGAUGAGCCUUGCACUCUUUAUUUGUAUUGUUAGCCGAACGCUCUGGAAAGUGCGGCCAUAGCAGGUGAUAGCCCUGUAGGCGAAAACAGUAUGAAAGAACUAGGUGUGCGACAAGUAGGGCGGGACACGUGAAAUCCUGUCUGAAGAUGGGGGGACCAUCCUCCAAGGCUAAAUACUCGUGAUCGACCGAUAGUGAACCAGUACCGUGAGGGAAAGGCGAAAAGAACCCCGGGAGGGGAGUGAAAUAGAUCCUGAAACCGCAUGCAUACAAACAGUCGGAGCCUCGCAAGGGGUGACGGCGUACCUUUUGUAUAAUGGGUCAGCGACUUACGUUCAGUAGCAAGCUUAACCGUAUAGGGCAGGCGUAGCGAAAGCGAGUCCGAAUAGGGCGUUCAGUUGCUGGGCGUAGACCCGAAACCAGGUGAUCUAUCCAUGGCCAGGAUGAAGGUGCGGUAACACGUACUGGAGGUCCGAACCCACUAACGUUGAAAAGUUAGGGGAUGAGCUGUGGAUAGGGGUGAAAGGCUAAACAAACCUGGAAAUAGCUGGUUCUCUCCGAAAACUAUUUAGGUAGUGCCUCGUGUCUCACCUUCGGGGGUAGAGCACUGUCAUGGUUGGGGGGUCUAUUGCAGAUUACCCCGCCAUAGCAAACUCCGAAUACCGAAGAGUGCAAUCACGGGAGACAGACAUCGGGUGCUAACGUCCGGUGUCAAGAGGGAAACAACCCAGACCGCCAGCUAAGGUCCCCAAAUAUAGCUAAGUGGGAAACGAAGUGGGAAGGCUAAAACAGUCAGGAGGUUGGCUUAGAAGCAGCCACCCUUUAAAGAAAGCGUAAUAGCUCACUGAUCGAGUCGUCCUGCGCGGAAGAUGUAACGGGGCUAAGCUAUAUACCGAAGCUGCGGAUGCGAGCUUUGCUCGCAUGGUAGGAGAGCGUUCCGUAAGCCUGCGAAGGUGCCUUGUAAAGGGUGCUGGAGGUAUCGGAAGUGCGAAUGCUGACAUGAGUAGCGAUAAAGGGGGUGAAAGGCCCCCUCGCCGUAAGCCCAAGGUUUCCUACGCAACGUUCAUCGGCGUAGGGUGAGUCGGCCCCUAAGGCGAGGCAGAAAUGCGUAGCUGAUGGGAAGCAGGUCAAUAUUCCUGCACCAUUGUUAGAUGCGAUGGGGGGACGGAUCGCGGAAGGUUGUCCGGGUGUUGGAAGUCCCGGUCGCUGCAUUGGAGAAGGCGCUUAGGCAAAUCCGGGCGCGUAAUUCAAGGGUGUGGCGCGAGCUCCCUAGGGAGCGAAGCAAUUGGAAGUGGUUCCAAGAAAAGCCUCUAAGCUUCAGUCUAACGAUGACCGUACCGCAAACCGACACAGGUGGGCGAGAUGAGUAUUCUAAGGCGCUUGAGAGAACUCGGGAGAAGGAACUCGGCAAAUUGGUACCGUAACUUCGGGAUAAGGUACGCCCUUGUAGCUUGACUGGCCUGCGCCAGGAGGGUGAAGGGGUUGCAAUAAACUGGUGGCUGCGACUGUUUAAUAAAAACACAGCACUCUGCAAACACGAAAGUGGACGUAUAGGGUGUGACGCCUGCCCGGUGCCGGAAGAUUAAAUGAUGGGGUGCAAGCUCUUGAUUGAAGUCCCGGUAAACGGCGGCCGUAACUAUAACGGUCCUAAGGUAGCGAAAUUCCUUGUCGGGUAAGUUCCGACCUGCACGAAUGGCGUAACGAUGGCCACACUGUCUCCUCCCGAGACUCAGCGAAGUUGAAGUGUUUGUGAUGAUGCAAUCUACCCGCGGCUAGACGGAAAGACCCCAUGAACCUUUACUGUAGCUUUGCAUUGGACUUUGAACCGAUCUGUGUAGGAUAGGUGGGAGGCUAUGAAACCGGAACGCUAGUUUCGGUGGAGCCGUCCUUGAAAUACCACCCUGGUUUGUUUGAGGUUCUAACCUUGGCCCGUGAUCCGGGUCGGGGACAGUGCAUGGUAGGCAGUUUGACUGGGGCGGUCUCCUCCCAAAGCGUAACGGAGGAGUACGAAGGUACGCUAGGUACGGUCGGAAAUCGUGCUGAUAGUGCAAUGGCAUAAGCGUGCUUAACUGCGAGACCGACAAGUCGAGCAGGUGCGAAAGCAGGUCAUAGUGAUCCGGUGGUUCUGUAUGGAAGGGCCAUCGCUCAACGGAUAAAAGGUACUCUGGGGAUAACAGGCUGAUACCGCCCAAGAGUUCAUAUCGACGGCGGUGUUUGGCACCUCGAUGUCGGCUCAUCUCAUCCUGGGGCUGUAGCCGGUCCCAAGGGUAUGGCUGUUCGCCAUUUAAAGAGGUACGUGAGCUGGGUUUAAAACGUCGUGAGACAGUUUGGUCCCUAUCUGCCGUGGGCGUUGGAUAUUUGAAGGGGGCUGCUCCUAGUACGAGAGGACCGGAGUGGACGAACCUCUGGUGUACCGGUUGUCACGCCAGUGGCAUCGCCGGGUAGCUAUGUUCGGAAGAGAUAACCGCUGAAAGCAUCUAAGCGGGAAACUCGCCUUAAGAUGAGAUAUCCCUGGGGACUAGAUCCCCUUGAAGGGUCGUUCGAGACCAGGACGUUGAUAGGUCAGGUGUGUAAGCGCAGUAAUGCGUUCAGCUAACUGAUACUAAUUGCCCGUAAGGCUUGAUCCU